ACGAACUCUGGUAUUGAUUGGUGCUUGCAUCAUGAUUUACAUUUGAGUGAGUGGCGAACUGGUGAGUAACACGUGGGAAACCUGCCCAGAAGCGGGGGAUAACACCUGGAAACAGAUGCUAAUACCGCAUAACAACUUGGACCGCAUGGUCCGAGCUUGAAAGAUGGCUUCGGCUAUCACUUUUGGAUGGUCCCGCGGCGUAUUAGCUAGAUGGUGGGGUAACGGCUCACCAUGGCAAUGAUACGUAGCCGACCUGAGAGGGUAAUCGGCCACAUUGGGACUGAGACACGGCCCAAACUCCUACGGGAGGCAGCAGUAGGGAAUCUUCCACAAUGGACGAAAGUCUGAUGGAGCAACCGCCGCGUGAGUGAAGAAGGGUUUCGGCUCGUAAAACUCUGUUGUUAAAGAAGAACAUAUCUGAGAGUAACUGUUCAGGUAUUGACGGUAUUUAACCAGAAAGCCACGGCUAACUACGUGCCAGCAGCCGCGGUAAUACGUAGGUGGCAAGCGUUGUCCGGAUUUAUUGGGGCGUAAAGCGAGCGCAGGCGGUUUUUUAAGUCUGAUGUGAAAGCCUUCGGCUCAACCGAAGAAGUGCAUCGGAAACUGGGAACUUUGAGUGCAGAAAGGACAG
rnacentral:rRNA from 2 species